CAUAGCUGAGUUGGUCACAGCGUGGUGCUGAUAACACCAAGGUUGCAGGUUCAAUCCCCAUAUGGUAAAGG